CCUACGGGAGGCAGCAGUGAGGAAUAUUGGUCAAUGGGCGCGAGCCUGAACCAGCCAAGUAGCGUGAAGGAUGAAGGCUCUAUGGGUUGUAAACUUCUUUUAUCGAGGAAUAAAGUGAGCCACGUGUGCCUUUUUGUAUGUACCUUAUGAAUAAGCAUCGGCUAACUCCGUGCCAGCCGCCGCGGUAAUACGGUGGAGCCGAGCGUUAUCCGGAUUUAUUGGGUUUAAAGGGGCCGUAGGUGGGUUGUUAAGUGAGUUGUGAAAGUUUGCGGCUCAACCGUACAAUUGCCGUUGAUACUGGCAGACUAGAGUGUGUUUGAGGUAGGCGGAAUGCGUGGUGUAGCGGUGAAAUGCAUAGAUAUCACGCAGAACUCCGAUUGCGAAGGCAGCUUACUAAACCGUAACUGACAUUGAUGCACGAAAGUGUGGGUAUCAAACAGGAUUAGAUACCCUUGUAGUC
rnacentral:rRNA from 1 species